UGGGGGAUAUUGAACAAUGGGCGAAAGCCUGAUGCAGCGACGCCGCGUGGGGGAUGAAGGCUUUCGGGUUGUAAACCUCUUUCGCUAUCGAACAAGGCACGCUUAGGGUGGGUUGAGGGUAGGUGGAGAAGAAGCGCCGGCUAACUACGUGCCAGUAGCCGCGGUAAUACGUAGGGCGCGAGCGUUGUCCGGAAUUAUUGGGCGUAAAGGGCUUGUAGGCGGCUUGUUGCGCCUGCUGUUAAAACGCGGGGCUUAACUUCGCGCGUGCAGUGGGUACGGGCGGGCUUGAGUGGGGUAGGGGUGACGGGAAGUCCAGGUGUAGCGGUGGAAUGCGCAGAUAUCUGGAGGAACACCGAUGGCGAAGGCAGGUCACUGGGCGAUUACUGACGCUGAGGAGCGAAAGCAUGGGUAGCGAACAGG
rnacentral:rRNA from 1 species